CCUACGGGAGGCAGCAGUGGGGAAUAUUGGGCAAUGGGCGCAAGCCUGACCCAGCAACGCCGCGUGAAGGAAGAAGGCUUUCGGGUUGUAAACUUCUUUUCUGAGGGACGAAGAAAAUGCGGUUACCUGACUAAGAAGCCCCGCCUAAAUACGUGCAACCAGCCCCGGUAUAACGUAGGGGGCAAGCGUUGUCCGGAUUUACUGGGUGUAAAGGGAGCGCAGGCGGGUUGCCAAGUCUGUUGUGAAAACCUGGGGCCCAACCCCGGACCUGCAUUGGAAACUGGCGUGCUGGAGUUCCGGGGGGGCAGGCGGAAUUCCUAGUGUAGCGGUGAAAUGCGUAGAUAUUAGGAGGAACACCGGUGGCGAAGGCGGCCUGCUGGACAAUGACUGACGCUGAGGCGCGAAAGCGUGGGGAGCAAACAGGAUUAGAUACCCGAGUAGUC
rnacentral:rRNA from 1 species